AAUGGGAUAGCUGGGUCAAGUGAUGGUUCCAUUCCCAGAUUUCCAAGGAAUCUUCAUACUACUUUCCAGAGUGGUUGCACCAAUUUGCAGUCCCACCAGCAAU
rnacentral:pre_miRNA from 1 species